GGUUCAUAUGCAAAUUUAUUUCCACUGACCGGGGACGAAAUCCGACAGAAAUCAUUUGAGGUGAAACUACCUUCCAGUCUGACGUUUCCUUUCAUGGAUACAUUGUAUGACAAAUUAUAUGUGAGUACUUUGAAAAAUAAUAUAUUCUCUUUUUUACUUAAACUCUUUGUUCUUGAAAAACCUGUUAAAAGCUUCGAUCUCAUUAAAACAAUAUUUUUCUGAGCAUUAAUAGUUAUGGUACAUAUUCAUGGUACAUAUAUUUCCUCUGUAAUGAUUUGAACAGUGUACAUGGUUUUGAAAUAAAAUCACACCUUCCCGAUUUAAAUAUUUGUAGUCUAACAAUCGUAUUGUAAAUAUUUGUGUAUUACUAUUGAUCUGAGGUUUUGUCUUGACAGAUUUUGAAAGAUGGUAUGAUUGGGUUUCAUCCAAAUGUUGCCUUCAGUGCAAAAUAUUAUUCCUCCAGUUUAAGCAGGAAAGAUCCAGCGUUUAUAGCCCCUUACCAUUAUAAUGGAUAUGAUACUCCGGGUGUUGCCCAUCCAAGAUGUUCAGGUACAGGAAAAAUACUUUACAGGAGUGGAACAGGUCAAUCAGCUUCUCAAAUUUCAAUGGAUGAGGCGACGGUAUACAACAACUUCGUACAAAAAUCAUUCGUUGGCAUGAAACAAUUUACAGCGAAAUGGACGUUAAUGGUUACAUGGGAAAACGUUUACAGAGAC
rnacentral:lncRNA from 1 species